AUUGAACGCUGGCGGAAUGCUUUACACAUGCAAGUCGAACGGCAGCACGGACUUCGGUCUGGUGGCGAGUGGCGAACGGGUGAGUAAUGUAUCGGAACGUGCCCAGUCGUGGGGGAUAACGUAGUGAAAAUUACGCUAAUACCGCAUACGAUCUAUGGAUGAAAGCGGGGGAUCGCAAGACCUCGCGCGAUUGGAGCGGCCGAUAUCAGAUUAGGUAGUUGGUGGGGUAAAGGCCCACCAAGCCAACGAUCUGUAGCUGGUCUGAGAGGACGACCAGCCACACUGGAACUGAGACACGGUCCAGACUCCUACGGGAGGCAGCAGUGGGGAAUCUUGGACAAUGGGCGAAAGCCUGAUCCAGCCAUUCCGCGUGCAGGAUGAAGGCCCUCGGGUUGUAAACUGCUUUUGUACAGAACGAAAAGGUUUCUACUAAUACUAGGAGCUCAUGACGGUACUGUAAGAAUAAGCACCGGUUAACUACGUGCCAGCAGCCGCAGUAA
rnacentral:rRNA from 1 species